AUUGAACGCUGGCGGCCGGCCUAACACCUGCAAGUCGCACGAGUGGCGGACGGGUGAGUAAUGUCUGGUAAACUGCCCGAUGGAGGGGGAUAACUACUGGAAACGGUAGCUAAUACCGCAUACCAUCGGAUGUGCCUAGAUGGGAUUAGCUAGUAGGUGGGGUAACGGCUCACAUAGUCGACGAUCCCUAGCUGGUCGUAGAGGAUGACCAGCCACACGGGAACUGGUACACGGUCCAGACUCCUACGGGAGGCAGCAGUGGGGAAUAUUGCACAAUGGGCGCAAGCCUGAUGCAGCCAUGCCGCGUGUAUGAAGAGGGCCUUCGGGUUGUAAAGUACUUUCAUCGGGGAGGCGUUACUCGCAGAAGAAGCACCGGCUAACUCCGUGCCAGCCGCCGCGGUAAUUC
rnacentral:rRNA from 1 species